GCUGUUUGCUUUUGUAACAGCUCGGGUAAUAUUAUCGGAGGUCGUAGAAAGAGAAAGAAGCUUUUACACGGAACAGAGAAGGCUAAAUCUCCUAGACAGCAAAACAGGAAGCAACAAUGGUCUGACUGUUAAUAAAAGCUAGCAUCUAUGUGGUCAGGAAGAUCCGGGCUUCCAUCACCGCUGGAGAGCAACUGGAAAAGCCCAUCAUAACACCAUGUAGUGCUAGAGCUGAAAUGAGAGCGGGACAGGAGUCGAGAGGAAUCGCCUCAGCGGCCGCACUGAGCCCAGAACCUGAUGGAGGUGUCGUUGGAGCAGUCGGCUCGGGGGCGUCCUCGGAGACAGCUGUGCAAAAAUGCGGCUCCUGACGUUAAGGGUACAGCUGGACACUUGGACUGCAGUCGCCGCAUCAGAAAAAUAUUACUUGUUGUCUCUGUGUUUUUGUGUUACAGGACAGUAAUACAUUAUCAUGGAUGAUUUUGUGUAUAUUCAGAACGUAUGUGCAAUGAUCAACAUCAAUUUUGUCAAAAUGGACUCCAACACAAAGACGAUUACAUCACUGCUUUCCAGUGUCCAUGCUGUGCUCAAGCCAACGUCCAGCUCCCAAUGACACACAUGCAUGCCUUUUUCACAGAGGAAAUUUUGCCUUACCAUGAGAACAAAACAGCUGCAAAUAACAUAAAUGAUGAACAGACAACUUCUCAACUUUUCUCCACCUGGUCAAGUGGUGCAAAUGUUGGUGCCGCCGUCUCAAAGGAAGCUGAAUCACUCUCUGUUUUCCUCAGAGCCUAGCAAAAGUUUCCAAAGUUGGUUGUUCCAUCUUCCACCAUUUCUGCUUCUGGACCAUCACUAUUGCGUAGUGAAAGUGAUGGAGACAUUUAUGCUAUUACAUUUAUUUGGUUAGUCGACGUGUUCUCUGUGAGAAAGGCUUGUAUUUAUGUACUGCAGUGUGUGAAGGCUGACUCACCAACCUCUCUCCAGGGGCUGAGCGGUCCUGAUGUUUCUGCUGCUGUAUCAAUAAAUAAAUCAUUUAAAAAAGAAAA